UCCCGGUUGCUCCUCUUCCAGUCCAGCCCUCUGCUGUGGCCAGGGAGUGCAGUGGAGGAUGGCCCAAGUGCUUGUGCCCUGCACCCACAUGGGAGACCAGGAGGAAGCACCUGGCUCCUGGCUUCGGAUUGGUGCAACGCCAGCCAUAGCGGCCAUUUGCGGGGGAGAACCAACAGAAGGAAGACCUUUCUCUCUGUCUCUCUCUCUCUCACUGUCUAACUCUGCCUGUGAAAUUUAAAAAAAAAAAAAAAAUGGCCAGCUUUUUAAAAAAAAAAAAAGUUCAAGGCUGCUAUGAGGAUUACAUGAGAAAAUACAGCACAAGGACUUCCCUGUAAUAAGGGCAUAAAGUAUUAAAAUCAGGAUUUAAUGAUAACGACAAUAAUGAGCACAUCGACAUAUUUAAAGUGCACAGUCCACACUGUGUGUCCGCACUGAUUCUGUGUGUAUCCAACAUUUACUUCGUUGAAUUAUGACCACAUCCUAUGUGAAGGAGGCCAUGCUAUUUUUCCCCUCUAGAGUUGAAUGAGAGAGAGAAAGACCCUGUUUCACAAAGCCCUGAAAUCACAACCACUCUGCUGCACAGUGUCUUAGAAUGUUCUUGCUUGGGUAGUACAGAAAAAAUAACUGAAUUCAGUGCUUUUUUUAUAUGAAUCAUCUUGGAUAGUGUGUAUAGUACUUUACGAGCUUAGAUGCAUGGGAAUCUUAUGGUUCUAAAUUCUAAGUUAAUUGAAACAUACUACAAAGGCUAUCAAUGAGGGGUAAUAAAAAGGAAAUUAAUAGGGAAUUUGUGGUUCUGUGAUGGGUUCUCUAAGGAGCAUAACAUCUUAUAUGACAAACAAGGAAUGGGAGGAAUUUCUGUUGAUUUUAUUGAAUGGGCAGAACUAUGGUAUUCUCACAUCCCAGCUGAGUAAGAUAACAGUGUAUCAGCCUCCUUGUUUGAGACAUUUAUGUAAUAAGCCAGUAGAAUUUCUUAGGCUGAAGAAAGCAAGAACCACUUAAUCUAAACACCCCUACAGUAACUGAAAAGACUUGCUUCAGCAUUGAAAAAGAAGUUCCUAAGCUAUGAACUUCUAACUUGUUGUUUUUCAAUUUGAAAUUUCAAGUCUAUGUUUCUGGGAGUCUUUGGAGGCACUGAAAUGUGUGGAAAAGUGUGUAUGCAGAGGCUUUGGACUGGAGAGAAUCCCCAUGGCAUUAAAGAAAGUUACAAAGACUAAAAUCCAAAGUUAAUAGGGGAAAAUGGGCAUUAUGUCCAUCUCAGUAGCAAACCAAUGAAUACAGACUAUCAGACAAGGUUACUUAGAUAAUAUCCUGAUUCCAUAUGCUCAUCAGGCAGCCUUUUGAUUUUUGCUUUAAUUUCCCAGAUGUGCUUUGGAAAAGAGAUACAUCUUAAUAUCAAUUGUUGCAUUUAAUAAAACUCAGUUCCAAUUCA
rnacentral:lncRNA from 1 species